CUCUUUCCCUCUAGCUCACAUCUCUCUCUCUCUCUCUCUCUCUCUCUCUUGUAAUCUCUCCACCAAAGAGAAGAAGUUGGAGGAGAAAUUAGAGAUUUAGCUUGGAAAUAGCUUGGAGAGGAAGCUUGGAGCUCUCUAAUGGUGGAUUUAGCUUGGAGAGCUAUGUAGUCAAGGAUAAUUCGACACGGAGGAUAACUUCGUUUUGGAUUACAACGAGGUUACGGCGUCCGAUUGAGAGAUUUGCAUAAUUGUGUUCGUUAGGCUUGGGUCGAGACGAAUCGGCAUUGUAAAUCAAAUUGCUUGGAAAUUCUAGCAAUUGCUAAUGAGACGAGAUUUAAAUAGAAUCCUAAUCAGACUUUGAUGGGAAGUCGAUCUGGACU